rnacentral:rRNA from 1 species
UGCUAUACAUGCAGUCGAGCGAAGUAGCAAUACUUAGCGGCGAACGGGUGCGUAAUACUUACCUAACCUGCCCUUUAGAGGAGGAUAACUGAUCGAAAGAUUAGCUAAUACUCCAUAGGAUAUUUGUUCGCAUGAACAGAUAUUUAAAGUUGCGUUUGCAACACUUUAGGAUGGGGGUGAGGCUUAUCAGAUAGUUGGUGAGGUAACGGCCCACCAAGUCAAUGACGAGUAGCUAUGCUGAGAGGUAGAAUAGCCACAAUGGGACUGAGACACGGCCCAUACUCCUACGGGAGGCAGCAGUAGGGAAUUUUUCUCAAUGGGCGAAAGCCUGAAGGAGCAAUACCGCGUGAACGAUGAAGGUCUUUGGAUUGUAAAGUUCUUUUAUUAGGGACGAACGGUCACAGCAGGAAAUGGUUGUGAUUUGACUGUACCUUUUGAAUAAGUAACGGCAAACUUUGUGCCAGCAGCCGCGGUAAUACAAAGGUUACAAGCGUUAUCCGGAUUUACUGGGCGUAAAGCGAGCGCGGGCUGAUUAACAAGUCUGGUGUUAAAUACUGUUGCUUAACAAUAGUAUGCAUUGGAAACUGUUAAUCUAGAGUAUGAUAGGGAGUUCAAGAACUCCAUGUGGAGCGGUGGAAUGCGUAGAUAUAUGGAAGAAUACCAGUGGUGAAGACGUGAACUUAGGUCAAUACUGACGCUUAGGCUCGAAAGUGUGGGGAGCAAAUAGGAUUAGAUACCCUAGUAGUCCACACCGUAAACGAUGAUCAUUAGGUGUAGCCACGAUAGUGGUUGUGCCGUAGUUAACACGUUAAAUGAUCCGCCUGGGUAGUACAUUCGCAGAAUGAAACUCAAACGGAAUUGACGGGACCCGCACAGUGUGAGCAUGUGUUUAUCGACAGUACACGCAAACUUACAGGUUUGACAUGU